GGCGGCAGGCCUAACACAUGCAAGUCGAGCGGUAGCACAGAGAGCUUGCUCUCGGGUGACGAGCGGCGGACGGGUGAGUAAUGUCUGGGAAACUGCCUGAUGGAGGGGGAUAACUACUGGAAACGGUAGCUAAUACCGCAUAACGUCGCAAGACCAAAGAGGGGGACCUUCGGGCCUCUUGCCAUCAGAUGUGCCCAGAUGGGAUUAGCUAGUAGGUGGGGUAACGGCUCACCUAGGCGACGAUCCCUAGCUGGUCUGAGAGGAUGACCAGCCACACUGGAACUGAGACACGGUCCACACUCCUACGGGAGGCAGCAGUGGGGAAUAUUGCACAAUGGGCGCAAGCCUGAUGCAGCCAUGCCGCGUGUAUGAAGAA
rnacentral:rRNA from 1 species